CCUACGGGAGGCAGCAGUAGGGAAUAUUGCUCAAUGGGGGAAACCCUGAAGCAGCAACGCCGCGUGGAGGAUGAAGGUUUUCGGAUUGUAAACUCCUUUUGGUAGAGAAGAUAAUGACGGUAUCUAACGAAUAAGCACCGGCUAACUCCGUGCCAGCAGCCGCGGUAAUACGGAGGGGGCAAGCGUUACUCGGAAUCACUGGGCGUAAAGAGCGCGUAGGCGGGAUAGCAAGUCAGAUGUGAAAUCCUAUGGCUUAACCAUAGAACUGCAUUUGAAACUGUUAUUCUAGAGUGUGGGAGAGGUAGGUGGAAUUCUUGGUGUAGGGGUAAAAUCCGUAGAGAUCAAGAGGAAUACUCACUGCGAAGGCGACCUGCUAGAACAUAACUGACGCUGAUGCGCGAAAGCGUGGGGAGCAAACAGGAUUAGAUACCCCAGUAGUC
rnacentral:rRNA from 1 species